rnacentral:rRNA from 1 species
UACGAAGGGGCUAGCGUUGCUCGGAAUCACUGGGCGUAAAGGGUGCGUAGGCGGGUCUUUAAGUCAGGGUGAAAUCCUGGAGCUCAACUCCAGAACUGCCUUUGAUACUGAGGAUCUUGAGUUCGGGAGAGGUGAGUGGAACUGCGAGUGUAGAGGUGAAAUUCGUAGAUAUUCGCAAGAACACCAGUGGCGAAGGCGGCUCACUGGCCCGAUACUGACGCUGAGGCACGAAAGCGUGGGGAGCAAACAGGG